rnacentral:tRNA from 1 species
AAAUAAGAAGCAAAAUAUUGCAUUUAGUUUCGACCUAAAAAUUUGAUUUUUAUCCUUAUUUA